rnacentral:tRNA from 3 species
GCCCCCGUAGCUCAGCGGAUAGAGCAGGUGCCUUCUAAGCACUUGGCCGCAGGUUCGAGUCCUGCCGGGGGCGCCA